rnacentral:lncRNA from 1 species
AUGCACAAAAUAAAGAAGACCAUUGUCAGGUCAAAGUGUGAAGUAGGGAAUUUUGCCUUGCCCUCCCUCCCCAAGAAACAUCCACUGAUGUUCCAAGGACGUGCACCUCUGACCCAUCUUUGUCCUUCAUUUCCCUCCAUUGCACAGACUGAUAGGAAGCAGGAGAGACUUGAGGUGGAUGGUAGGCCACCCUGUAGCAUGUGUCAUGGCUCCAACACUCUUCCCUCUACAGUAUGUACAGCAUGAACUGAGACACGAGAAGCUGAAAGGGAGAAAGUGCACAUUAAAAAUGUUCUAUGUCUACAGCACCUCAUCAGGCAUGCAGAGAAGGGGAAAGAGCAAAUAGAAAGUGUGGUCAUUAUUGUUAAUUAAGUCAAGGUGAAUAAAUAAAGGAAUUCAUUAUUUCAUGUGGAGGCAGGCUUGGGCUGAAAGAGAGGCUUGAGGCUUUAAAGGCUUCUCCAAGAUGUACAUCAUUUUAGCAAGACAACAAAAAACCCAAACAGCCUUCAGUGUUUACAUUUCAACAUAGAAUUAGAGGCAGUGUUUAAAUAUUACAAGUACCAGCAAUGCCAGCAGCAAUUACAGCCUGGUUUUCUUCGCUCUUCUUUGAGGCUCUUGGGAGGUGGAGCAUCCAAAGCCAGAAAAACUAAUAAUAAUAGCCCUCAAAAUAGUGCAUUGAGUGCUCAGUAUACACGGAGCAGCAUCACUAAUUCAACCUUACGAUGACCCGAUGGAAUAAUACUCUCCCUAUUUCAUACAUGAGAGAACUAAGAGCCAGUUUUCUCUUGGUCACAGGGCUGGUAAAUGUGGAAUAAGAGGAUUUACUCCUAAAUAUUUCUACUUCAAAACCCAUACUAUAAACCACCCUAACAAUGCUGAGGACUGACCAACCGUUCCUGGCUGCCAGAAAGCCAGUUCACUGGCAGAAAUGCCUUCCCACCCCACUUGAUUUUUUUUUUUUUUUUUUGCAAAGGGAAUAUUAAUACCUGUUGCAAGUUUCUAGGAAAGGCACUAGGCAGUAGGGACUUGGAAACAUUUGGGGAAAUAUCAGGAAAGGGAAAAAUAGAAUGAAAAUGAUCCAUUGGUAAUUGAGAACAAGAUAUUACUUUACUCAACAGAGCUCUUGGCAGCCUCUUAAGGAAAGAUUCUACAAACUAGAAUCCCAUUUCAUCCUCACAGUGAACUAGAAAGAAGACAGGAUGGAUCUUCUUUCCCAUUCCAGAGAAGAGAAAGAGCAAAUAGAAAGUGUGGUCAUUAUUGUUAAUUAAGUCAAGGUGAAUAAAUAAAGGAAUUCAUUAUUUCAUGUGGAGGCAGGCUUGGGCUGAAAGAGAGGCUUGAGGCUUUAAAGGCUUCUCCAAGAUGUACAUCAUUUUAGCAAGACAACAAAAAACCCAAACAGCCUUCAGUGUUUACAUUUCAACAUAGAAUUAGAGGCAGUGUUUAAAUAUUACAAGUACCAGCAAUGCCAGCAGCAAUUACAGCCUGGUUUUCUUCGCUCUUCUUUGAGGCUCUUGGGAGGUGGAGCAUCCAAAGCCAGAAA